AUUGAACGCUGGCGGCAUGCUUUACACAUGCAAGUCGAACGGCAGCGCGGGCUUCGGCCUGGCGGCGAGUGGCGAACGGGUGAGUAAUGCAUCGGAACGUGCCCAGUAGUGGGGGAUAGCCCGGCGAAAGCCGGAUUAAUACCGCAUACGACCUGAGGGUGAAAGCGGGGGACCGAAAGGCCUCGCGCUAUUGGAGCGGCCGAUGUCGGAUUAGCUAGUUGGUGGGGUAAAGGCUUACCAAGGCGACGAUCCGUAGCUGGUCUGAGAGGACGACCAGCCACACUGGGACUGAGACACGGCCCAGACUCCUACGGGAGGCAGCAGUGGGGAAUGUUGGACAAAGGGGGCAACCCUGAUCCAGCCAUGCCGCGUGCGGGAAGAAGGCCUUCGGGUUGUAAACCGCUUUUGUUCGGGAAGAAAUCCUCUGGGCUAAUACCCCGGGGGGAUGACGGUACCGGAAGAAUAAGCACCGGCUAACUACGUG
rnacentral:rRNA from 1 species